rnacentral:rRNA from 1 species
GACGAACGCUGGCGGCGUGCUUAACGCAUGCAAGUCGAACGGAAAGGCCCUGCUUUUGUGGGGUGCUCGAGCGGCGAACGGGUGAGUAACACGUGAGUAACCUGCCCUUGACUUUGGGAUAACUUCAGGAAACUGGGGCUAAUACCGGAUAGGAGCUCCUGCUGCAUGGUGGGGGUUGGAAAGUUUCGGCGGUUGGGGAUGGACUCGCGGCUUAUCAGCUUGUUGGUGGGGUAGUGGCUUACCAAGGCUUUGACGGGUAGCCGGCCUGAGAGGGUGACCGGCCACAUUGGGACUGAGAUACGGCCCAGACUCCUACGGGAGGCAGCAGUGGGGAAUAUUGCACAAUGGGCGGAAGCCUGAUGCAGCAACGCCGCGUGCGGGAUGACGGCCUUCGGGUUGUAAACCGCUUUCGCCUGUGACGAAGCGUGAGUGACGGUAAUGGGUAAAGAAGCACCGGCUAACUACGUG